rnacentral:rRNA from 1 species
GUAGUUAGCCGGGGCUUCCUCCUUGGCUACCGUCACUUUCUUCGUCACCAAGGACAGAGGUUUACAAUCCGAAGACCUUCUUCCCUCACGCGGCGUUGCUGGGUCAGGCUUGCGCCCAUUGCCCAAUAUUCCCCACUGCUGCCUCCCGUAGGAGUCUGGACCGUGUCUCAGUUCCAGUGUGGCCGAUCAGCCUCUCAGCUCGGCUACCCAUCGUUGGCUAGGUGGGCCGUUACCCCGCCUACUACCUAAUGGGACGCGAACCCCUCCUUCUGCGGAUUGCUCCUUUGACCCCUGAGCCAUAAUCAAACUCUGA